ACUCAAAUGAAUAGACGGGGGCCCGCACAAGCGGCGGAGCAUGCGGAUUAAUUCGAUGCAACGCGAAGAACCUUACCUGGGUUUGACAUGCGCCGGAAAGCUCUAGAGAUAGAGCCCCUUUUAGUCGGUGUACAGGUGGUGCAUGGCUGUCGUCAGCUCGUGUCGUGAGAUGUUGGGUUAAGUCCCGCAACGAGCGCAACCCUCGUUCCAUGUUGCCAGCAACACUCAUUCAGUUCGGCUGGGGGUGGUUGGGGACUCAUGGGAGACUGCCGGGGUCAACUCGGAGGAAGGUGGGGAUGACGUCAAGUCAUCAUGCCCCUUAUGUCCAGGGCUUCACGCAUGCUACAAUGGCCGGUACAAAGGGCUGCGAUCCCGUGAGGGGGAGCGAAUCCCAAAAAGCCGGUCUCAGUUCGGAUUGGGGUCUGCAACUCGACCCCAUGAAGUCGGAGUCGCUAGUAAUCGCAGAUCAGCAACGCUGCGGUGAAUACGUUCCCGGGCCUUGUACACACCGCCCGU
rnacentral:rRNA from 1 species